rnacentral:rRNA from 1 species
AGCGAACGCUGGCGGCAGGCCUAACACAUGCAAGUCGAACGAACUCUUCGGAGUUAGUGGCGGACGGGUGAGUAACACGUGGGAACGUGCCUUUUGGUUCGGAAUAACUCAGGGAAACUUGUGCUAAUACCGAAUGUGCCCUUCGGGGGAAAGAUUUAUCGCCAUUUGAGCGGCCCGCGUCUGAUUAGCUAGUUGGUGAGGUAACGGCUCACCAAGGCGACGAUCAGUAGCUGGUCUGAGAGGAUGACCAGCCACACUGGGACUGAGACACGGCCCAGACUCCUACGGAAGGCAGGAGUGGGGAAUCUUGCGCAAUGGGCGAAAGCCUGACGCAGCCAUGCCGCGUAAAUGAUGAAGGUCUUAGGAUUGUAAAAUUCUUUGAACGGGGACGAUAAUGACGGUACCCGGAGAAGAAGCCCCGGCUAACUACGUG